rnacentral:rRNA from 1 species
GACAGAGGAUGCAAGCGUUAUCCGGAAUGAUUGGGCGUAAAGCGUCUGUAGGUGGCUUUUUAAGUCCGCCGUCAAAUCCCAGGGCUCAACCCUGGACAGGCGGUGGAAACUACCAAGCUGGAGUACGGUAGGGGCAGAGGGAAUUUCCGGUGGAGCGGUGAAAUGUGUAGAUAUUGGAAAGACCACCGAUGGCGAAGGCAGGUCUCUGGGCAUUAACUGACGCUGAGGAGCGAAAGCAUGGGGAGCGAACAGG